UUCUCUAAAUUAAUUUGUUACGAUGACUUUCUUAUUGACUGUCUUUCUUCUAAUAAGUGUGAUUUUUUUUUUCAAGCUUGUUCGGUGGGUGGCACCCCUCAUCCCAGGAAGUGGUUCUUUGCAGUGCAAGCAAUAUGCGGAUUUUAUCAGUUUUGUAGUUCUGAUUGGCAAGAGAUACAUCUCGACACUGAAAAGGAUAAAGUAGAAGAUGUCCUUCAAGCAAACAUAGAAGAAUGUCAGAGGGCUGUUGAGUGUUUGGAAGAAGAUGACAGUAAUAGCAGGGAGUCCCUGUCCUUGGCUGACCUAUAUGAAGAAUCAGCAGAAAAUUUGCAUCAGUUAUCAGACAAACUUCCUGCCCCUGGUAAUACAAUAACUGUUUGUCCUCAUUUGUAUUUUCUCAUUUUUAUGAAUGAGUGUUGAAUUCAGUGUAUUCUGUAGAACAUUAAUCCUGUAAGUUCCAGGAAAAAUAGAUUUUUUUUUGACCUAGAUAGUUUCGAUAAUAUUCUUUUAUGGUGCAGUUGGCACAUACACCAACAAAUGGCACAUUGCACCGUAGAACAAAGCUCUUUCCUCAGCAUUUUUUUUUAUAGGAAUCAUUUUUUGUUCCUAAAAUGGGAAGCAUAUUUUAUGAAAUGCUAUAUGAUAG